rnacentral:lncRNA from 1 species
GUCCACCGAGCAGCAGUUAACUCAGAGAAAAAGCGCCUUUCCAUUGCCAGUCUUCACAGUCUAGCUUUAGGUAAAAAAGUUAGACCUGCCCCAGCUCUUGUCGAUGAACAACAUAUAUUGUCCUAUAACGAAGGAGGAUUCAGUGAUUUCCUUGACUUCAUUUCUGGAGAAGAUAUUGUGCAGGUAAAGUACAUAGAUAAAUUAAAAAUAAAUCCAUGAUGAUUAUAUAUAGUCCACGGACAGCAGAUAAUCUGUGCUAAAAUCCUAAGGUGUAUAACCAGUAGCCAUUUUUUCUAUGUACUUUGUGCCAAUAUCUAAGGGUGGGUGUUUGGUUCUUCACUGGUGCAUACUGAAUUCCGAACAGAACUAGUUCGAUUCAGUUCGGUUUUUUUCUAAUUCGGUUCGGUUCUUCGGUAUGCGCUUGAUAAGUACUUCUUACUGCAAACCCAAGGUUCACUAAAUCUGGGUUGAAGAGAAACCACCAUCAACGGAGGUAGACUGUGUAGAAACUGGGCUAGAGAUGGUGUGUGCAGCAUCACUUAUGUACACACGUUGUUAUUGUCUUAUAAAGAAACUGGUCUUUAUUCCCUACAUUCAAUCUUUCAUAGCAGUGUCCAACUUUUGCUCUUCUUAUUCUUUAUUGUUUCUAUUUUUUAAGAAUAAGAUUGAAUGUAUCAACAACUCUUGUUCAAAGUUUCCAUUUAAUAAUGAAAAUCCUCUGUUCUUAAAUACAUGUCUCUUGAGCGAUCACUGAUAUAUUUAGAUCAGCAUUAGAAGUUGAGUUUGAGGGAAGAAAAAAUCUUUAAGUGAGCUUGUACUAUAUAUCAUCAAAAUGUUGAUAAACAUGGACAUACAAGUAUAAUUAGGGGAAUAUAUGCCUAGAGAUAUGGUUCACUGAAAGGUCGCUGCAGUAUUCUACACUGAAGCUCCACAAAAUUUCAGUUCUUCAGUUAAGGACCCAAAAACCGAGAACCGAACACCAAAGUCUUAAAAAAUUUAAUACCGAAACCGAAGAAAUGAAUUAAUUUGGUCCAGUUUUUCAGUUAUUAUGCCUCUCCCUACUAAUAUCACUUGAGAGAGGCUCUCCUUUCUUCACGCUAGGGGGAUUUACUGUGAAAAAUAAGAAUAUAAGGAUCCAUAACUUUUGCAUCUCGGUAUAGCAGGACUUGAACUUGCGAUCUUUAUGACGCAUUAUCAGGACUGUGAAAAAGUCCAAGGUUGUACCAACUGAGCUACUAAUUAACAAAAUUAAGACGCAGCAUCAGGAUCUUCAAUAAGUCCAGUGAUUUACCUCAGUUAUCUAACAUCGUAUACUUCAGCAGAUAGAAGCCAGCAACUGGAAAAUUCAAAUAAUUUUCAAAGUGGAAUUAAGUUCUAAGUUCCAACAUAAACAUCUAGUUUGUAUACAUAUACAUCAAAAAUCACCUUCCACGUUUUGUUUAUAUAGCACAGAAGCAGCCAUAUACAUCAAAAUGACCUUCCACAUUUUGUUUAUAUAGCACAGAAGCAGCCAGCAUAACAAAACAGCUCUGAUAUUUUUGAAAAAGUCAACAGCUCUGAUAUUAAUAUAUCGUUUUUUAAAAUUACUUCAGGUUUUCUGUUGAGAAGUUUUCAUCGUAAGCCAACAGGAAGUAUGCCUUCAAACUCAAGUUCCAUGACUGAGGUAAUGCUCACAUAUGAUUUGGCUUAUGUUUCGACAUCCAAGCUGUUUUCCCUCCAACACUAUCCACUCAUUCCAAAGCACCUUCAAACUAACUUGAAAUUGUUGCAAAUCAAGGAAUAAAUUUUCAGGCAUUUACAUAUGAAUUUCUUUAACUAAAUUGGUUAUUUUAUAUAGUUUGUACAACUUACAAACUUGCAAUAUUUUCCACUUCCAAAAGGUUAUCACCAUGCAUAAUCAGAAUCAAUUGUUAAUAUUUCUCUAAAUGAACACAUGCACUUUGUUUAUCUUAAUUGUUUCAAUUUACUUCCAAUUAAUUCCUUAUGUCAGCUCAUGAUAUUUAAGAUUUAGUGAUCGUUAGUACAUAAUUCAAGCUAAUAAUGUACUGUUUCCAUCGUAGAAUAAUAGAUCAUCUCCUUAGAAAUAAGCACAACAUAUCCUCAUAUCUCGUAAUUAAAACAUCAUAUUUUCCCAAUUAUUUAAUCUAGAGAUGGCAAGAUUUCUGUUUUCCCCCAUUCAGAUAGGUGUGGAGAUUAAAUUUUCCUCCUUUAUUUGGAGCAAUUAGACAACUCUCCAAUUAUUUGAACAACAUCAUUGUUUAAUCACAACUACCCUUAUUUGUCCGGUGUUAAAGACUCUCCAAGGAGGAUAAUGGAUAACAGUUAAAAGCCAAAGACAUUCAAUAAUUCGACGAACAAAAACGCAGCACAUUAAUGUAUUUCAACUUUCAAGUAAGUUUAAGUAUUCAUUUUCCUCCUUGAUAUAACUAAGAAUUUUCUAAUUUCUUCAGCUAUUAACACCAUAUUUCUUAGAAAUACAGUUUACGAUGCAAUUUUAAGUGUAUUAAACAAAAUUAUCCCAACAUAUAUUCAGUACUAUAACAAAAAUCAUCUACUUGAAGUUACUAAAACAAUUGCUCGACUUCUUUCCCCUUUUGACGGUCAAAUCUUCUCAACAAAAUAUGAACAGAAAAAAUCAAAAUUGCAGAUAUACAUGAAUCUCACUAUAAUUAGUACAUUACACGCAACAAAAAAAAUCAUCAAAAAUACAGAAACUCUCCACUGUUCCAGGCCAAAAAAAAAACGCGGGAAAAGCACUUACGAUAAUCGAUUCAAAAAAUUAGCCGUCACUCUCUUCCUUCCUUACGUCUCCGCCGGCCAUCGCUAAGCCUCUUCUCCGUCGAAUUUCCUUCCUAACUUAUUCUGAUUAUUUUCAACUGAAGGUGGCUUUCGGG